AGGCUCUGUGGUGUAUUUGCAUGUUGAAUUGCAAGUUCAAAGAAGCAGCUUCAAUCCUGCCGGGGCUUC
rnacentral:tRNA from 1 species